CUUGAGAGGCCACGCCUCUUCCGGAUGAGGCCAUGCCCCCCUCAGGACUCCAGCAGUACCGGGCUAAUUUUGGAGCGGAUGCUAAUUUAUACCAACUAAGGAUACCAGUUGAAGAUACCAACAAAACUGCCUCACAUACAGGUGUCCUUUGGUGACCCCUUUGUGACUUGUUGUCUUUUAUACUGCAGCAUGGCCCUGUGCACUGGAAUCUCAUCUCUGAAGUCCUUAGCUGCCUGGUGAUCAGUUGCAUGAUGGCUUUUCAAAAAUAUAUUUUUGGAAGUAAAUUUCCCAACAUGAAAACAGCUGUCAUAAAAUGUGUUGUGACAAAAAUAGCCCUGUGUAAUGAUUUUUAAUA